CAUGAUUACGCCAAGCUAUUUAGGUGACACUWURGAAUACUCAAGCUAUGCAUCCAACGCGUUGGGAGCUCUCCCAUAUGGUCGACCYGCAGSCGGCCGCGAAUUCACUAGUGAUUAGAGUUUGAUCCUGGCUCAGAAUGAACGCUGGCGGCGUGCCUAACACAUGCAAGUCGCACGAGAACUCCCCUUUCGGGGGGAUAGUAAAGUGGCGCACGGGUGAGUAACGCGUGGAUAACCUAGCUCCGAGUCUGGGAUAACACUGCGAAAGCGGUGCUAAUACCGGAUAACAUCACGGGAUCUCUGGGUUCUGUGAUCAAAGAUGGCCUCUACAUGUAAGCUAGUGCUUGGAGAUGGGUCCGCGUACCAUUAGCUAGUUGGCGGGGUAAAAGCCCACCAAGGCUGCGAUGGUUAGCUGGUCUGAGAGGAUGAUCAGCCMCACUGGAACUGACACACGGUCCAGACUCCUACGGGAGGCAGCAGUGAGGAAUCUUGCGCAAUGGGGGAAACCCUGASGCAGCAACGCCGCGUGAGUGAUGAAGGCCUUCGGGUSGUAAAGCUCUGUCAAGCGGGAAGAAUACGCUCUAUGCCAAUACCAUGGGGSRCUGACGGYACCGCUGAAGGAAGCAC
rnacentral:rRNA from 1 species